rnacentral:pre_miRNA from 14 species
UUUUCUGGAACAAAGUGAAAGAUCCCCGAAGAGAGGCCCUUAUUCAAGUCUUGGGAAAUCUCGGACCCCAGACACAGAGAGACCA